UUCAGUAUCACUAGUUGUGUCUGAUCACAGAGAGAGCUGAACUCCACAAAAUUAUCGAAACUCGAAACCCUUUUCCUUUCUGAAUUAGGAAUUACACACUCAUUCAUGCCACUCUCGUUGAAAUCAUAAACUCCAAAAAAAAAAAAAGACUACAAGGGUUCGAGUUUAUACCAGUUGAAGAAACAUGAAGGGCCAUGAAGCAAAGAUGCCAAGAAUGGAGGAUAUUCUAAACCUUCCGGUGCAAGAUCCUCCUUGUGCUGAGUUUUCUGCUGCUCAGAUAAAGUGGGUAAAAGUAGAAGGUGGUCGCCAAGGUGGUGAUGAUAUUGCUCUCAUUCCUUUUGCUAGAGUGGACGAUUUUGUAAAAGGAGAAUCUUCUAAUGCUGAAUGUCCGGCUAGUUUCCGCAUUGAGUCAAGAAGGAAGAGACCUGAGGGGAGCAUCAGCAAACCAAGGGUCGAUGGCUAUCUCGAAUACACAUUAUACUGGUGUUCUUAUGGUCCCGAAGACUACCGAGACAGCGAGUCUGGGAUGGGAGAUGGCUCAAACAUCAAGCCUGCCUCAGGGAAAGGGAGCAGGCCAGGGAGGCGUCACAUGAUGAGAGGCUGCCUUUGCCAUUUUACUGUAAAACGAUUAUAUACCCGCCCCCUCCUAGCCCUCAUCAUCUAUAAUCAAAGAAAGCAUGUAGAUAAAUCAGGAGCCCCAUGUCAUGGGAUACUUGAUCAGGAUGCUUUAGGGACACGAGCUAUGUAUGCUCCACGAAUCUCAGAAGAGUUACGGCAGAAAGUGAUGUCUAUGCUUUAUGUCGGAAUAUCUUUGGACACUGUAAUUCAGCAUCAUAUGGAGGUGGUGCAGGGGCAUGGUGGACCCCACAAUCGUGAUGAUUUUCUCACUCGAAAUGAUGUUCGUAACAUGGAAAGGCUUAUUCGUAAUUCUUCACAUGAGUUACAUGCAAGUGAUGAAUGCAGUAUAAAGGUGUGGGUCCAACGCCAUCAAAAGCAUGUUUUCUACUUUCAGGAAAAUUCUGGUUCAGAACCAUUUAUCUUGGGGAUACAGACAGACUGGCAGCUGCAACAGAUGCUCCUUUAUGGACAUAAUGGUUCGAUAGCUUCUCAUUCAACAUUUGGCUUGAAGAAGCUUAAGUAUCCCCUCUGUACUUUACUUGUUUUUGACUCAACCCACAAUGCAAUUCCAGUUGCUUGGGUCAUUACCUCUUCUUUUGUUGGUCAAGAUGUCCAUAAAUGGAUUGGAUUACUUGCUGAAAGAGUCCAUACCAAGGACCCCAGAUGGAGACUCAAUGCCUUCUUAGUGGAUGAUCCUUCUUUUGAGGUUUCCAUGAUAAGAGAGGUUUUCCAAUGCCGAGUCCUAUUAUGUGUCUGGCAUAUUCGCCGUGCUUGGAUGAGAAGUAUUUUAAAAAAAUGCUGUAACUUUGAUGUACAGCGAGAAAUGUUUAAGCAUUUAGGCUGGAUUUUAUAUUGCACAAGAAAUGGGCCAAAUGCUAUGGAUGCGAUUGAAGAGUUUAUGCAAGUAUUUGUUGAUCAACGUGCCUUUAUGGAUUAUUUCAAGAUCCGGUGGUUGCCAACCAUAGAGUUGUGGGUUAAUGGUGUAAGGUCUCUUCCUGUGGCCAGUCCAGAGCCCCAUGCUGCAAUUGAGUCGUAUCACCUUAGGUUAAAAUCUAAGCUUUAUAAUGAGCAGCAUGCCAAUUCCUGGGCAAGAGUCGACUGGUUGAUCCACUUUUUGACAACUGAAUUUCACUCCUCAUAUUGGUUAGACCAAUACAGUGUGGAGACUGGGUAUUUUGAAAAUUUGAGGGACAAAUCUUUCUUAACCAAUGCUUGGUUUCACGCUGUACACAUUACUGAUGUUGAUGUGAUAUUGGAUGAGCAAAAUCUUGAGCUUGCAAAAGUCAUCUCUCAAACAGAUAGAAGCCUGGCAUAUACAGUUUGGAAUCCUGGUUCAGAAUUCUCCCUCUGUGAUUGCCCCUGGUCAAGAGUGGGAAAUCUCUGUAAGCAUGUUAUCAAGGUGGCAAUUUUAUGUAAAAAUCGGCAGGUUGCAAGACCAUUAUUGGCUGCUCAAGUUUAUCGGCAGACCUUGGUUUCCCUUCUGCAGAACCCCCCAGAUGAUCCUCUAGUUCUAGAGCAUGCCAUUUUACAUGCAACCCGCUUGCAACAGGACAUUAAAGGUUUGGAAGACUUGUCUAAUAAUGGGUUACUCCAGCCAUUACCUCCUGAGAUUAAUUCUCAACUGGCAGAUAAUGUUCUGCUUUUUCCACGUCUUCAUUGAGCAGACCAUUGAACAGGUACCUCUUGCUGCCUUAAUGAAAGCUCAAAUUGAACCUCCUCCCCAGUAAACAUCAAGGCAGAUUCCAUGGUUGGUCAUCUUUAAUUUUGGUAACUGACCAAGUCAGGGAAUCAGCAUCUCUUAAAAAAAAAUUGGGCUAAGGUUGGCUACCAAUCACCUCUCCUACACCCUGCAAAAUUGGGAGCUUUGUGCAUUGGUGGAUCUGCUGCAUCACAUGGAGCAAUUGUGAGGAAUGAACAAAAUCCAAUUACAAUGGAAUGGAUGGUACAAACUCCUCCAGCUUUUCAUACUUUCGGAGAAUUUCUGGCUAUCAAGGAAGGGGACAAAUUAGCAGAGACAUCAGACAUCAGACUGCAUACCUGUCAUUUCAGAGGCAAGGAAAGACCCACUCUCUACUCUUCACUCGGAAAGGCUACUAUUCCUUGUUGUGACUUUCACUGUAUGCAUUUCUAGGUGAAACAGAAAGAGUAGUGGCAGGCUUGUAUUUAUUCAACCUCAUUGACUGUGGCCCUUCCUUUCUCCAGGUGCUUGUUUCCUAUCCAUCUAUGCUUGCGGGUUAGGAUCAAGGGUUGCCCUAGAGGACUGGAUCAUGAAACUUGUGGCGACAAGGAUCUUUUGGAGUCCACAUCAAGAGAGAAAAAGUUAAAAACUCUCCCUUUUAGCAGCCAAAGACCUCCAAUCUCUACCACAGGCGCCAAAGAAGAAUGAGAAGCCCCAAAAAUAGCAAAAAGGAACAGCUGGAGCGCAGACAUCUUAUCAAUAAACUAGGUAGAAGCUAUUGCUUUGGGUCAAAGCACUGAAAAAAAGGACCUGGAAACAUAGCGUCAGGUAAGAACUUGGAGAAGGCACAACUCAAAAGGAUCAUCUUCGAAUUACUGAAAAAGGAAAAUGUGAAUCCAACUCUAGAAUCCCAAGCUGGUACUAGUUUGUACCUCAUUCUACUAUUAGAUGGUACCGAGCAAGACUUAUUUACAUGACAUUUUGGAAGCAUUUUAAAGGAAGGACCUUUUUUUUUUUUUUGAGAAACCAAAAAGGGUGGCUCACGUGUGAUAUCACAGCCGACCACACCCCACAGAUACAUCGCCUGUGAGUACCACCAGCACAUGACAACACAGUUCAACCUGCUCAGUAAUUAAAAAAACUUUGCCAGGAUACUUAAAAACCCCUGGCUCAUGGCCAUCGGAUUUUUCUUCACAGAAAUUAUUUCUCAACACAUUUUUCCAUUCAUAUGUGGAUGGUUUGACCUUGAAUUUGGAUUUUGAAUAUAAGUAAAUAAAAUUCUGUGCAGGCUGCAGGCUGUUGAGCCACUAAGGUGUGAAUUGGAUGUCUAACUACCCUGCAGAAGCAAGCAAAUUUUUUCCUAGAAGAAUGUAUUUAGAUGGCCCUUGAUUAUAUCAUUUUCACGUUACUCGCAGGUACACACCCCUGGAAACUAUUGUGCGCAAGAACCACGACGGAGACCGGUGAGUUCCCAAAAGUAUCAGGGAGUUCAAAGGCAAACCUGUUAUGGUUCAUGAAUAUGGCAUCAAGGUCUUUUUCAAAGAGAGCUUUAGGGACUUUACCUUCGAACUCAUUGAAUCGAAGGUCGAGAUACUUCAGGCUUGGCAAACCAAGAACAACAUAAGGGAAUUUACCCGCAAAGCGAUUGUUACUUAGAUCAAGCUCGAACAGAAGCUUUAGUUUUUUGAAACUCUUUGGGACCGUAUCACAAAACCUAUUGGAGUUGAUAUGAAACAAUGCAAUAUCUGAAAGGAGGCCAAGCUCUUCAGGGAGGUACCCAGCAAUGUCAGCAUGAUUUAGGUCAAUGCCAGCAACAGUUUGGAUCGAAGGGUCAUCAAGAGCUUUGGAGCAGAACACCCCGGUGUAGUUGCAAACAUUGGAUCCUACCCAGUUGGAUGUGAAAUUCAGAGGAUCUGAAAUGAUGGCUAGUUUCCAUGCAUGGAGGGCAACGUAGGCAUUCUUGAGU